rnacentral:rRNA from 1 species
UACGUAGGGUGCGAGCGUUAAUCGGAAUUACUGGGCGUAAAGCGUGCGCAGGCGGUCUGUUAAGACAGAUGUGAAAUCCCCGGGCUUAACCUGGGAACUGCAUUUGUGACUGGCAGGCUAGAGUAUGGCAGAGGGGGGGUAGAAUUCCACGUGUAGCAGUGAAAUGCGUAGAGAUGUGGAGGAAUACCGAUGGCGAAGGCAGCCCCCCUGGGAUGACAC